rnacentral:rRNA from 1 species
GACGAACGCUGGCGGCGUGCUUAACACAUGCAAGUCGAACGAAGAGCGAUGUAAGCUUGCUUCUAUCAAUCUUAGUGGCGAACGGGUGAGUAACGCGUAAUCAACCUGCCCUUCAGAGGGGGACAACAGUUGGAAACGACUGCUAAUACCGCAUACGAUCUAAUCUCGGCAUCGAGGAUAGAUGAAAGGUGGCCUCUACAUGUAAGCUAUCACUGAAGGAGGGGAUUGCGUCUGAUUAGCUAGUUGGAGGGGUAACGGCCCACCGAGGCGAGGAUCAGUAGCCGGUCUGAGAGGAUGAACGGCCACAUUGGGACUGAGACACGGCCCAGACUCCUACGGGAGGCAGCAGUGGGGAAUCUUCCGCAAUGGACGAAAGUCUGACGGAGCAACGCCGCGUGAGUGAUGACGGCCUUCGGGUUGUAAAGCUCUGUUAAUCGGGACGAAAGGCCUUCUUGCGAAUAGUGAGAAGGAUUGACGGUACCGGAAUAGAAAGCCACGGCUAACUACGUG